rnacentral:rRNA from 1 species
UCGCCGGAAGACCAAGGGUUCCUGUCCAACGUUAAUCGGGGCAGGGUGAGUCGACCCCUAAGGCGAGGCCGAAAGGCGUAGUCGAUGGGAAACGGGUUAAUAUUCCCGUACUUGGUGUUACUGCGAAGGGGGGACGGAGAAGGCUAUGUUGGCCGGGCGACGGUUGUCCCGGUUUAAGCGUGUAGGUGUGUGUUCCAGGUAAAUCCGGUUCACUUUAACACUGAGGCGUGACGACGAGGCACUACGGUGCUGAAGCAACAAAUGCCCUGCUUCCAGGAAAAGCCUCUAAGCAUCAGGUAACAUCAAAUCGUACCCCAAACCGACACAGGUGGUCAGGUAGAGAAUACCAAGGCGCUUGAGAGAACUCGGGUGAAGGAACUAGGCAAAAUGGUGCCGUAACUUCGGGAGAAGGCACGCUGACACGUAGGUGAAGUGAUUUACUCAUGGAGCUGAAGUCAGUCGAAGAUACCAGCUGGCUGCAACUGUUUAUUAAAAACACAGCACUGUGCAAACACGAAAGUGGACGUAUACGGUGUGACGCCUGCCCGGUGCCGGAAGGUUAAUUGAUGGGGUCAGCGCAAGCGAAGCUCCUGAUCGAAGCCCCGGUAAACGGCGGCCGUAACUAUAACGGUCCUAAGGUAGCGAAAUUCCUUGUCGGGUAAGUUCCGACCUGCACGAAUGGCGUAAUGAUGGCCAGGCUGUCUCCACCCGAGACUCAGUGAAAUUGAACUCGCUGUGAAGAUGCAGUGUACCCGCGGCAAGACGGAAAGACCCCGUGAACCUUUACUAUAGCUUGACACUGAACAUUGAGCCUUGAUGUGUAGGAUAGGUGGGAGGCUUUGAAGUGUGGACGCCAGUCUGCAUGGAGCCGACCUUGAAAUACCACCCUUUAAUGUUUGAUGUUCUAACGUGGACCCGUUACCCGGGUUGCGGACAGUGUCUGGUGGGUAGUUUGACUGGGGCGGUCUCCUCCUAAAGAGUAACGGAGGAGCACGAAGGUUGGCUAAUCCUGGUCGGACAUCAGGAGGUUAGUGCAAUGGCAUAAGCCAGCUUGACUGCGAGCGUGACGGCGCGAGCAGGUGCGAAAGCAGGUCAUAGUGAUCCGGUGGUUCUGAAUGGAAGGGCCAUCGCUCAACGGAUAAAAGGUACUCCGGGGAUAACAGGCUGAUACCGCCCAAGAGUUCAUAUCGACGGCGGUGUUUGGCACCUCGAUGUCGGCUCAUCACAUCCUGGGGCUGAAGUAGGUCCCAAGGGUAUGGCUGUUCGCCAUUUAAAGUGGUACGCGAGCUGGGUUUAGAACGUCGUGAGACAGUUCGGUCCCUAUCUGCCGUGGGCGCUGGAGAACUGAGGGGGGCUGCUCCUAGUACGAGAGGACCGGAGUGGACGCAUCACUGGUGUUCGGGUUGUCAUGCCAAUGGCACUGCCCGGUAGCUAAAUGCGGAAGAGAUAAGUGCUGAAAGCAUCUAAGCACGAAACUUGCCCCGA